CCCAGUAGGUCUCGUAUCNAGUCGAGCGGAUGACGGGAGCUUGCUCCUUGAUUCAGCGGCGGACGGGUGAGUAAUGCCUAGGAAUCUGCCUGGUAGUGGGGGACAACGUUUCGAAAGGAACGCUAAUACCGCAUACGUCCUACGGGAGAAAGCAGGGGACCUUCGGGCCUUGCGCUAUCAGAUGAGCCUAGGUCGGAUUAGCUAGUUGGUGAGGUAAUGGCUCACCAAGGCGACGAUCCGUAACUGGUCUGAGAGGAUGAUCAGUCACACUGGAACUGAGACACGGUCCAGACUCCUACGGGAGGCAGCAGUGGGGAAUAUUGGACAAUGGGCGAAAGCCUGAUCCAGCCAUGCCGCGUGUGUGAAGAAGGUCUUCGGAUUGUAAAGCACUUUAAGUUGGGAGGAAGGGCAGUAAGUUAAUACCUUGCUGUUUUGACGUUACCGACAGAAUAAGCACCGGCUAACUCUGUGCCAGCAGCCGCGGUAAUACAGAGGGUGCAAGCGUUAAUCGGAAUUACUGGGCGUAAAGCGCGCGUAGGUGGUUCGUUAAGUUGGAUGUGAAAGCCCCGGGCUCAACCUGGGAACUGCAUCCAAAACUGGCGAGCUAGAGUACGGUAGAGGGUGGUGGAAUUUCCUGUGUAGCGGUGAAAUGCGUAGAUAUAGGAAGGAACACCAGUGGCGAAGGCGACCACCUGGACUGAUACUGACACUGAGGUGCGAAAGCGUGGGGAGCAAACAGGAUUAGAUA
rnacentral:rRNA from 1 species